GGAAAAACUUGUCAUGGAUGGGUCAAAAGAGGUUGUAAAUCACUGCUCUAGCUUGGUGCACUGCGAAAGGAUCCACCUCUGCGCUCACCCUCCCAUUUGACUAGAAAAGAGGUAUUUGUUCAAACACAGCAUGGCCUCAGCCUGGAAACACAGCAGCUUCGUGGGAGAUAUUCACCACAGGCGCCCUUCCUGCCCUCUUCCCAUGAACAUCUACCUGAAGCCCCCAAGCAGGAGCCCGCGUGCUUGGGAAGAGUGCUGCAAUAUCAAGUCGAGCUGUCAGAGGCUGUUUGGACUUUCCCCGCCCCAUCAACUUCCCCUGGAUGGCAAGAGCAGCAGCUCCUGGGCUGCCACCUGCACACCACGCUUAGCGUUGACUUCUCCACAGGGCAGUGGCCUCUGCACCGUGGGCACGGCAUCAAGCCAAGAUGCUGCUGAAGGUCGUUCCUUGAAUGCCUGCCAGCUGGACUAGGGGAAGCUGGUUUUGAGCCACUAAAGAAGGAGCUCAGAGCCAGGCAGAAGAAAUCUCUCUCCAGACCUGGCUGUGACUCCCCGAGAGCCACGUGAGGAGUCUGAACCUGCUGCAGGUGGUCCCGGCCCCAGCUCUGUCCGUGCUUUUGGGAGCCACGGGACUGCCCCACCAUCUAUCCGUGCCAGAUUUCAAGGCUCUUUCAGGCGGGAGAAGGGCUGGCUGGCUGGAGAUCAGAGCAGUCGCUCUCCUACACUAGGUCACACAGCCCCUGCCAAGUGUCACUGUGUGCCAUCGUCCCUGCCCUGCCUGCCAAGAGGAGAGCUGCCCGCCGCUCCUCGGCGCCGUCACACACCACCGCGCUGGCCCACGUUAAGUCAACCUAAUGGGGCUCUGCACAGAGCAAGCGUUUCAGUGACCCGGCCUGUGGGCACCCACGGUCUGAUCGGCUGGUUGCUGUGACCGUGGCAGCAGCCUGGUGUGGUGUCCCACGUGUUUUUGGGAGCAAGAAUUGGCAUCUGUUGAGGGGGAUGUCUGGGACCCAUGUUUGUCCCUGUGGGACAGAACGGCAGCCCCACCAUCAGAGGCGUGACACGAGCAGCAUCUCCGGUUCAAACUCCUCUGAUGGCUUCUGCUGCCUCGGUCCAGGGGUGCAACCUUGCAGCAACCCUCCCCCAAAAUCCAGUAUCAUAGAGAGAGUUUAUUGAGUGAUGAAGGAGCAAUUACCAGCUCAGCUGGAGGCAGAGUUGCUCCUGUUUGGUUUUGCAAGAAGAAAG